rnacentral:rRNA from 1 species
CCUGAGAAACCCGAAAGAUCGAAAGGGGAGAUUCAUCGUCAGCGUAUUUGGUAUAUGUGCAAAUUGCGAUAUAAUAUACGUUUUCUUCGUGAAAAUUAUUUUUGUACGCUUUUGUAUCAUUUAAUUGCUGAAUAUCGUCGGCGUGCACUUCUCCCCUAGUAGAACGUUGCGACCCGUUGGGUGUUGAUCUACGACCCGGUAGAUAGACUUUGAUGUCGUCUUAUAGACGUUACAUUGAAGAUCUCUGGUGUUUUCUGAUUAACUGCCCGGCGGUAUGAAAAUAUGGUAUUGAGUCGCUUUUGAAUGCGUCAAAUUUACCACAAGCCCAAUCAAUGUUUUAGUAGUUUACGGACAUAGUGCCGUCGCUUUACUUGAUCAGCUGUUAGUUGUGUAAUAUACUUUGACAGACUCGUUGAAUAUAUAAAAUACCAGUCAGCGAUGCUACUGCUUUGGGUACUUUCAGGACCCGUCUUGAAACACGGACCAAGGAGUCUAACAUGUACGCGAGUCAUUGGGUUAUAUUUAUAAAUUUAAACCUAAAGGCGUAAUGAAAGUAAAAAUUGUCCUUGUGUCAAUUAAGGGAGGAUGAGUUAUUUUACAGAUGUAGCUCCGCACUCCCGGGGCGUCUCAUU